CAAAUACUCCCUCUGUCCGGAAAUACUUGUCAUCAAAAUGGAUAAAAGGAAAUGUAUCUAGACGUAUUUUAGUUUUAGAUACAUCUCUUUUUAUCCAUUUUGAUGACAAGUAUUUUCAGACGGAGGGAGUAGAAA
rnacentral:pre_miRNA from 1 species